UGGGGAAUAUUGGACAAUGGGCGAAAGCCUGAUCCAGCCAUGCCGCGUGAGUGAUGAAGGCCUUAGGGUUGUAAAGCUCUUUUGUCAGGGAAGAUAAUGACGGUACCUGAAGAAUAAGCACCGGCUAACUUCGUGCCAGCAGCCGCGGUAAUACGAAGGGUGCUAGCGUUGUUCGGAAUUACUGGGCGUAAAGAGCGCGUAGGCGGGCAGUCAAGUCAGGGGUGAAAUCCCGGAGCUUAACUCCGGAACUGCCUUUGAAACUGUAAGCCUGGAGUGUGUGAGGGGAUAGCGGAAUUCCUAAUGUAGAGGUGAAAUUCGUAGAUAUUAGGAGGAACACCGGUGGCGAAGGCGGCUAUCUGGCACACAACUGACGCUGAGGCGCGAAAGCGUGGGGAUCAAACAGGAUUAGAUACCCCCGUAGUCC
rnacentral:rRNA from 1 species